rnacentral:tRNA from 1 species
GGUGAUGGCUCAGUGGUAGAGCACUUGUCUAGCAUGUAUGAAGCACUGGGUUCAAUUCUCAGCACCA